rnacentral:snoRNA from 1 species
AUGCAUCUUUGACAGACCUGGAACAGUUAAAGUCUGCUGCUAAGGUUUCUACUACAGAUGCAAGAAAAAGAAGGUCCUCAAACUUUCUGUCUGUUUGUAGUCCAAGAUUGAAUGGGGGAAUACAGGA